GCAUUGGUGGUUCAGUGGUAGAAUUCUCACCUACCAUGUGGGAGACCUAGAUUUGACUCCCAGCCAAUGCA
rnacentral:tRNA from 1 species